ACCCAUACACUGUUGUGCUCCCAGGAACCCCAGCGGAGCGGCGGGACCCAUCCCCUUGCAGGUUGCUCCCGUUUCCCAACACAAACCGCUGCGAACCACGUGGCGAGGUCUGCCUUGGAAACAGCCCGCAGCCCAUCUCAGAACGCCCCGUAUCAGAGCCGAUGUCCCGCACGCUCCCUUCCCUCUGCCCACACCGGGCUGUUUCAAGCAGUUCCCGCUUCGCUUUACGCGACUGCUAAGCAAAGGUGCGCACGAGAGGCACCGCGUGUCCCUCCGCGCGGCAGCACCGCUCCGCACCCCGCGUCGCAGCAUCGCAGCACAGCGCGAGCCCCGCGUUGUGUCAGCGGGGAACCAUCCCGCCCGGUGUGUGCUGGCAGCUCUGCCCGGCUGGCUGCGCGGUGUACGGGCUGCACACCCAGCCGUGGAAGCACAGCACGGCGCUUCGGGGUUCAGACCGGCGCGCUGCCAGCCCCACCGCUCUUACAGCCGCCGAAGCACCGCUCGGUCCCACUCCUGCAGCCGCGGCUUCGGGCGGGCGCAGCACCCAAUGCGGCCGGGCCCCCAGCGGGCCGCGGGGUGUUCCUUCCAGCAACCCUGAAAUCUCAGCCCCACGGCCCCAUCCUUCCAUCCCACACACGGACGAUACCCUGGGCGGCACCGGGCCCCGCUCAGCCCAACGGGCGCCCGACGGAGCGGGAGCGGUGGUGGCCGCAGAUGGGGAAGGGGCUGGGAGAGGCGAGGGGUCCCAGAGCGGUGCGUGGAGCACGAGCUGAGCCCCACUCACCGAAGGGGGGUGAGAAACCGACCGACAGACAGACGGACAGAAAGCGGCGACGGUGCCGGCUGCAGGCACUACAGGUCCCCCCGCUUCCCACGCCCUUACCUCCGCAGCAGCCGAGCAGCAGCAGCCCCAGCAGGCAGGCGGGCAGCGCGGAGCCCCGCGGGGCCAUGGCAUCCCGGGCGGGCGGCUCGGCUCCCUGCGCCCCGCUGAGAGGGAGCGGCCCAGGAGGGAGAGAAGGAGAGAGGCAAGGCGAGAGCCACCCUCCAGUGGAGAAAGGAAAGAAAGAAAGAAAAAGAAAAACUAAAAAAAGAAAAACCAACAACCAAAAACGGGGGUGA
rnacentral:lncRNA from 1 species